rnacentral:rRNA from 1 species
UACGAAGGGGGCUAGCGUUGCUCGGAAUUACUGGGCGUAAAGCGCACGUAGGCGGCUUUCUAAGUCGGGGGUGAAAUCCUGGAGCUCAACUCCAGAACUGCCUUCGAUACUGGAGAGCUUGAGUCCGGGAGAGGUGAGUGGAACUGCGAGUGUAGAGGUGAAAUUCGUAGAAUAUUCGCAAGAACACCAGUGGCGAAAGGCGGCUCACUGGCCCGGUAUUGACGCUGAGGUGCGAAAGCGUGGGGAGCAAACAGG